AUGGCUAAUAUUAAUGCUGGAAGCCAUAGUCUGCUCCUAAAAGAGAGAUCGAAAAGAGAUGGGCCGGCGCUAUUGAUUGACGUACAUUCCAUCCAACCUACAGCGGUAAAAGAGGGCGCUUGCGUAAGUCGUUAUCCAGUGAGAACUCAGCGGCAGAGGCGGAGGCGGGCCUUGUGGAAACUGCUGCAGCAGGGUUGGCGGAUUUGGGAAGGAGUGAAGAUGGCGGAGUGAGGCGCAUCGCGGCCAGCCGGCCUUUGGGCCGGGGGCGUGAAGGCCCCCGGACGGUCGAGUGCUUCUACUGGCUGGUGAGAGGUAAGUCGAGAAAGCCAGCGAUGAGGGAACUAGCAGGAGGUGGCGCGGCCCAGUCCAGCAAAGGGACGGGACCGCGCAGAGCCUCCCUGCAGCUGGCACGGGCCUCGGCCUGACGUGGGUUUCGUUCCGCGCUCAGGGCGGCGGCAUAAGCCUUCAGGGGUGUGUCGCACCGACACUUCGUCUUCGACCCGCCGCUGCCUUUCCCAGUUUCUUUUGGCUGCCUUUGUGUUUUCGGCUUAUUUCCCGGUGAUUGCACCCAAGCGGGUGUGUAUCUGCCACUGCUGCGUCGUCCAGCAGUUUAUCUUUUAAGGAA
rnacentral:lncRNA from 1 species